CACUGUGUAUGGCAUGCUGCACUAAGUUUCUUGCUUUUAUGCUCUCACGCACUCUUUCUCCAUUCCCCUCUCUCUUCUUCCAUCUGCUGGAGCUGCUCGCCUUUCUGUCGGGGACACCGAAGCAUUCAUGCGGCUGAGAGCCAUUCUAUUAUUCAGCUAUAAGUUCUGGAUGACAAAGGAAAGAGAAGAGGGGCAAAUCACCCACUGAAGAGGAAGAAAAUAGCCACACAUUUUGAUGCCUGGAGGAUGAAACCUCCUAUGUUAUUUCCUUCCGUCUUUCUCUCUAUGUCCAUUUUGAUUAAUGGACAUCAUUAGAAAUAGACACAGGCUAUCAGAACUUGAAUGAAUCAGGCAGCUGCAGUUACCCACGAUGCUCUGCAUAGUCGGAGCAGUAUAGAGUGGUGCAGCUUUAAUGACAAAUCGAAAUGACAGAAUAUGUUUGGAAAAAAAAUCCAUGGCAACCAUGGCUGCAAAGGACGGCAAUCGAUAUCGUUUUGGUUAUGCAGCAGCUACAAGUUUGAACUGAGGAGGACAGAGAGCCAAAUAGAAAGGAGGAUGGAUAUGAUGUCUCUGGGGGGUAGAGGGGCUGCACAAGAGUAAUGGCCCGGCUGUGGACAACAAACAUAUCCAUCCAUAUGACCCCUGAGACGGAGGCCUGAUGAUAAUUCCCAAAACACACUGCACUCGCACACACACAUGCACAUGCAUAGAGAGAGAGCACAGUGUGAGAGAGAGACACUCCCACACGCCCUUACCAGCACUGUGUUAUUUUAAACCAGCACAUUCCCUUAAAAUAAAAAGAAGAAAUAAAGAGGUGAAGUCUAUUUCAAAAGCAAACUCCCACACCUGGAGGACCUGUCAAGCACUGUCUGCUAUUGAGCUCCAGCACUAUAUCAAGCUAAUGGGGGGAAAAGUGGGUCAACAAGAAUUAUUCAUGAGGUUCCUCCAUUUAAAAGCAGACACUUUGUGUAUGUCUCAGAGAAAAAUAGAAAAAGUCUCAGACAACAUGGUUGAUGAGACACAUAUCUGAAUUAUAAAUCACACAAGUCAUUAGUUCAACCUGCUACUACAACUGAUGCUACCCGUAAUCGAUAAGCUAACAGCAUUCAGUUAGACAGAAGACGAGGCUAAACUACAAAAUGAUAACUAUUCGAUAUUCAUGGCAUGUUUAUUCAGCUUUAGUAUUUGCACAUCCUUUUUCAUGAAAAGAUUUUUAUGCAACAGAAUGGGGGCGGACUUAAUACUGGCUAUUCAAUAACCAAAAUUCACUUGCUUCAGUUACGACACACAGGAAGGAAAUUCUUUAAUAUGCAAUAUGGCCAAAAGACAGUUAUGAGAUUAAAUGGAGAGCACUGGAGACUUAAGUUAAGACUUAAGGAGGCUUAAGUUCUGUUUCUCCAAUUAUUCUCUGAGAAAAGACUACAAUAAUUUCAGAAGGGACCUGAGCAAUGUCUUAAAGGAAUAGUUUAUCCAAAAAUGAAAAUUACCCCAUGAUUUACACACUCUCAAGUCAUCCUAGGUGUAUAUGAUUUUAUUCUUUCAGACGAAUAUUAUCAGAGUUAUAUUAAAAAAUGUCAUGACUCUUAGAAGCUUUAUAAUGGCAAUGAAUGGGGGUUGAGAUUUUGUAGCACAAAAAAAUGGCAUCCAUCCAUCAUAAAAAGUGCUCCACACAGCACCAGCGGGUUAAUAAAGGACUUCUGAAGUGAAUCGAUGCAUUUGUGUAAGAAAAAUAUCCAUAUUGAAAACUUUAGAAA
ensembl:lncRNA